rnacentral:rRNA from 1 species
AGAGUUUGAUCCUGGCUCAGAUUGAACGCUGGCGGCAUGCUUUACACAUGCAAGUCGGACGGCAGCACAGAGAAGCUUGCUUCUUGGGUGGCGAGUGGCGAACGGGUGAGUAACAUAUCGGAACGUACCGAGCAGUGGGGGAUAACUAAUCGAAAGAUUAGCUAAUACCGCAUAUAUUCUGAGGAAGAAAGCAGGGGACCAUUUGGCCUUGCGCUGUUUGAGCGGCCGAUAUCUGAUUAGCUAGUUGGUGGGGUAAAGGCCUACCAAGGCGACGAUCAGUAGCGGGUCUGAGAGGAUGAUCCGCCACACUGGGACUGAGACACGGCCCAGACUCCUACGGGAGGCAGCAGAAGGG